GGCAACAACAAUGGGUUAAUAGUGCUCUUGGCCUUAGAACGUCGAAGGGUCAGCCUGCGGCCGGCAAGCUAGCAAAGAAAAUUAUGCAAAUGGGCAAAAGAAAAUCAAUUUUAUUGAUUUUUGAUUUUACAUUUUAAGCGCUGCAGGGCCGAGAGAAUCGUUAAAAACGUAUCUAUAAAUCUGGCCACAAAUGCGAGCUGCAAACAUCAAUUGCAAUGAAAAUAAUUUGUCAAUUUGCACGUACGCGUUUGAGAGCUCCAUGGCCCCUAAAUAGAUUCGCCAAGGCAAUCCACUGGCUUCAAAAGGUGGCCAGCAGCUGUACAGCUGCACAGCUGAAUUGUUCAGUUUUUGCUUGUCCCAAUACGCGUAACAUAAAACUCUACAAUCGAGUAUGGCCAUACACUAAAUCUAAUGAAUGUUUGUGCAAUAAAAAAACGUCUCAACGUCUUAUUGGAAUUACCGGAAUCUGUAGUUCUUAUCUCUCUUUCGAUAGCAAAGACAAACAAAAGAUUCGGGUUUCAGGUACAUAUUUAAACAUUUAUAACUAUUUAUGCCGGCUCCAAAACAAACUACACAACACUGAUAAACUAAGGUAAACAAGUUAAAGCCCUAGGAACUUCCUGAGAGUCUGCAGCAUCUAGUGGAUCCGCAAACAUUGACAUAGCUCUAGAUUAUAAUGCGGCCUAAUUGCAAUGAGUCGGCCCUGAGCAUAUAGAAUCGAUUUCAUGCUAGACUAUUCUCUAAAUUAUUAAGGCCAGUAACAAACAAUCAAAAAAGUAUAUCCCAUUUAAAUUAAAUCCGGUAAUUUAGUUACACGAAACCACCUUAAGGCCACAGGCUGUUAACGGACUCCAAUUGCAAAUUGCAAAAAAAUAAAUUAUACAAAUAUAAAUAUUAAAUAUUUACUUCGGAGAAACAGUAAACAAAAGAAGCACCGGUGAAGGUGAAAUGUUUUAGCAAUCGCUCGUGGAAACGGAAUAUGAAUUCGGUUUAUCUUUCGUUGUGGCGAGGUAUAUGGGAGUGGAACAUUGCGAAGAUAAAAGUUCAGAACUUUCAAGAGAAUUCUUUGUUAUUAUUGAAAUGUAAACUGAUCUGAAUAAAACCUGGCAUUCUUUUAUCGGUAAAA
rnacentral:sRNA from 1 species